UCUUCCUUAGCUCAGUCGGUUAGAGCAUCUGACUGUUAAUCAGAGGGUCCUUUUGGUUCAAGUCCAAGAGGAAGAG
rnacentral:tRNA from 1 species